rnacentral:snRNA from 1 species
AGUCCUAAUUAAUUUUCGGAUGAU